rnacentral:rRNA from 1 species
GAACGGUGAAGCAGAGCUUGCUCUGUGGAUCAGUGGCGAACGGGUGAGUAACACGUGAGCAAUCUGCCCCUGACUCUGGGAUAAGCGCUGGAAACGGCGUCUAAUACCGGAUACGAGCUGCGACCGCAUGGUCAGUAGCUGGAAAGAAUUUCGGUCAGGGAUGAGCUCGCGGCCUAUCAGCUUGUUGGUGAGGUAAUGGCUCACCAAGGCGUCGACGGGUAGCCGGCCUGAGAGGGUGACCGGCCACACUGGGACUGAGACACGGCCCAGACUCCUACGGGAGGCAGCAGUGGGGAAUAUUGCACAAUGGGCGCAAGCCUGAUGCAGCAACGCCGCGUGAGGGAUGACGGCCUUCGGGUUGUAAACCUCUUUUAGCAGGGAAGAAGCGAAAGUGACGGUACCUGCAGAAAAAGCGCCGGCUAACUACGUGCCAGCAGCCGCGGUAAUACGUAGGGCGCAAGCGUUAUCCGGAAUUAUUGGGCGUAAAGAGCUCGUAGGCGGUCUGUCGCGUCUGCUGUGAAAACCCGAGGCUCAACCUCGGGCCUGCAGUGGGUACGGGCAGACUAGAGUGCGGUAGGGGAGAUUGGAAUUCCUGGUGUAGCGGUGGAAUGCGCAGAUAUCAGGAGGAACACCGAUGGCGAAGGCAGAUCUCUGGGCCGUAACUGACGCUGAGGAGCGAAAGGGUGGGGAGCAAACAGGCUUAGAUACCCUGGUAGUCCACCCCGUAAACGUUGGGAACUAGUUGUGGGGUCCAUUCCACGGAUUCCGUGACGCAGCUAACGCAUUAAGUUCCCCGCCUGGGGAGUACGGCCGCAAGGCUAAAACUCAAAGGAAUUGACGGGGACCCGCACAAGCGGCGGAGCAUGCGGAUUAAUUCGAUGCAACGCGAAGAACCUUACCAAGGCUUGACAUAUAGAGGAAACGUCUGGAAACAGUCGCCCCGCAAGGUCUCUAUACAGGUGGUGCAUGGUUGUCGUCAGCUCGUGUCGUGAGAUGUUGGGUUAAGUCCCGCAACGAGCGCAACCCUCGUUCUAUGUUGCCAGCACGUAAUGGUGGGAACUCAUGGGAUACUGCCGGGGUCAACUCGGAGGAAGGUGGGGAUGACGUCAAAUCAUCAUGCCCCUUAUGUCUUGGGCUUCACGCAUGCUACAAUGGCCGGUACAAAGGGCUGCAAUACCGUGAGGUGGAGCGAAUCCCAAAAAGCCGGUCCCAGUUCGGAUUGAGGUCUGCAACUCGACCUCAUGAAGUCGGAGUCGCUAGUAAUCGCAGAUCAGCAACGCUGCGGUGAAUACGUUCCCGGGUCUUGUACACACCGCCCGUCAAGUCAUGAAAGUCGGUAACACCUGAAGCCGGUGGCCCAACCC